rnacentral:rRNA from 1 species
UGGGGAAUAUUGGACAAUGGGCGCAAGCCUGAUCCAGCCAUGCCGCGUGAGUGGUGAAGGCCCUAGGGUUGUAAAGCUCUUUCACCGGUGAAGAUAAUGACGGUAACCGGAGAAGAAGCCCCGGCUAACUUCGUGCCAGCAGCCGCGGUAAUACGAAGGGGGCUAGCGUUGUUCGGAUUUACUGGGCGUAAAGCGCACGUAGGCGGACUUUUAAGUCAGGGGUGAAAUCCCGGGGCUCAACCCCGGAACUGCCUUUGAUACUGGAAGUCUUGAGUAUGGUAGAGGUGAGUGGAAUUCCGAGUGUAGAAGUGAAAUUCGUAGAUAUUCGGAGGAACACCAGUGGCGAAGGCGGCUCACUGGACCAUUACUGACGCUGAGGUGCGAAAGCGUGGGGAGCAAACAGG